GGGGCUGUGAUGAAACACUCGGAUGCCUCCGAGCGCUCCGUGGGGAAACCCAGAGGCUGUUUCUGAGCCG
rnacentral:snoRNA from 1 species